CGUAGGUGAACCUGCGGAAGGAUCAUUAAAGUAUCUUAGUUGCCUGCGCUUUCAUUAGCGCGGCGACCAAACCUUACACACAUUGCUUAGUUUUUUCUAACAUUGCUUUGGUUGGACUGCAAAGUCUGGCCAGAGGUUAUCAAAACACAAGAUUUUAUUAUCUUUUUUUACAAACAUUAGUCAAGAAGUUUUAUUAAAACAAAUCUUCAAAACUUUCAACAACGGAUCUCUUGGUUCUCGCAACGAUGAAGAACGCAGCGAAAUGCGAUACGUAAUGUGAAUUGCAGGUUUUCGUGAAUCAUCGAAUCUUUGAACGCAUAUUGCGCCCUCUGGUAUUCCGGAGGGCAUGCCUGUUUGAGCGUCAUUUCUCUCUCAAACCCUCGGGUUUGGUAUUGAGUGAUACUCUCUUCUGGGUUAACUUGAAAUACUGUGGCAAGAGCUGCUGUUGCAGAUCUCCUCUGAACUAACGUUUCUAGGUUCUACCAAUUCGUUAUGGACAGUUGAAAUCGGUUUCGGCUUAUAGGCUCGGCCUUUACAAUAUCUCCUAAGUUGACCUCAAAUCAGGUAGAU
rnacentral:rRNA from 1 species